CAGUCGCCACGGUAAUACGUAGGUCCCGAGCGUUGUCCGGAUUUAUUGGGCGUAAAGCGCGUCUAGGUGGUUAUAUAAGUCUGAUGUGAAAAUGCAGGGCUCAACUCUGUAUUGCGUUGGAAACUGUAUAACUAGAGUACUGGAGAGGUAAGCGGAACUACAAGUGUAGAGGUGAAAUUCGUAGAUAUUUGUAGGAAUGCCGAUGGGGAAGCCAGCUUACUGGACAGAUACUGACGCUGAAGCGCGAAAGCGUGGGUAGCAAACAGGAUUAGAUACCCCGGUAGUCCCUGUCUCUUAUACA
rnacentral:rRNA from 1 species